rnacentral:misc_RNA from 1 species
UUGUGGGCUUUGCCUGCUAUCUCUUACCCAUGUCUUUUGAGUACCUUACGUUUCCUCGGCGGGUCCGCCCGCCGAUUGGACACUUUAAACCCUUUGCAGUUGCAAUCAGCGUCUGAAAAAAACUUAAUAGUUACAACUUUCAACAACGGAUCUCUUGGUUCUGGCAUCGAUGAAGAACGCAGCGAAAUGCGAUAAGUAGUGUGAAUUGCAGAAUUCAGUGAAUCAUCGAAUCUUUGAACGCACAUUGCGCCCCUUGGUAUUCCAUGGGGCAUGCCUGUUCGAGCGUCAUUUGUACCUUCAAGCUCUGCUUGGUGUUGGGUGUUUGUCUCGCCUCUGCGUGUAGACUCGCCUCAAAACAAUUGGCAGCCGGCGUAUUGAUUUCGGAGCGCAGUACAUCUCGCGCUUUGCACUCAUAACGACGACGUCCAAAAGUACAUUUUUACACUCUUGACCUCGGAUCAGGUAGGGAUACCCGCUGAACUUAAGCAUAUCAAUAA